UACAGAGGUCCCAAGCGUUGUUCGGAUUCACUGGGCGUAAAGGGUGCGUAGGCGGUUUGACAAGUCUGAUGUGAAAUCCCGCAGCUUAACUGCGGAACUGCAUUGGAAACUGUUUGACUAGAGGAAUGGAGGGGAGACUGGAAUACUUGGUGUAGCAGUGAAAUGCGCAGAUAUCAGGAAGAACACCCGUGGCGAAGGCGGCUCUCUGGGACGGUACUGACGCUGAGACGCGAAAGCGUGGGGAGCGAACAGG
rnacentral:rRNA from 1 species